rnacentral:rRNA from 1 species
GGACGAACGCUGGCGGCGUGCCUAACACAUGCAAGUCGAGCGAUGAAAUCCUUCGGGAUGGAUUAGCGGCGGACGGGUGAGUAACACGUGGGUAACCUGCCUUGUAGAGGGGGAUAGCCUUCCGAAAGGAAGAUUAAUACCGCAUAACAUCUUUUUAUCGCAUGGUAGAAAGAUCAAAGGAGCAAUCCGCUACAAGAUGGACCCGCGGCGCAUUAGCUAGUUGGUGAGGUAACGGCUCACCAAGGCGACGAUGCGUAGCCGACCUGAGAGGGUGAUCGGCCACAUUGGAACUGAGACACGGUCCAGACUCCUACGGGAGGCAGCAGUGGGGAAUAUUGCGCAAUGGGGGAAAAACCCCCGUGACGCAGCAACGCCGCGUGAAUGAAGAAGGCCUUAGGGUUGUAAAGUUCUGUUUACGGGGACGAUAAUGACGGUACCCGUGGAGGAAGCCACGGCUAACUACGUGCCAGCAGCGGC